UUACAAUGCGGGAAACCGUGAUAAGGGGACACCGAGUGCCAGCAUCAUAUGCUGGCUGUCCGGGUGUGUAAAAUACACCUGUUAGCAAGGGCCGGGCAAGACCGGUGCCAGCCGCCGCGGUAAUACCGGCGGCCCGAGUGGUGAUCGUGAUUAUUGGGUCUAAAGGGUCCGUAGCCGGUUUGGUCAGUCCUCCGGGAAAUCUGACGGCUUAACCGUUAGGCUUUCGGAGGAUACUGCCAGGCUUGGAACCGGGAGAGGUAAGAGGUACUACAGGGGUAGGAGUGAAAUCUUGUAAUCCCUGUGGGACCACCUGUGGCGAAGGCGUCUUACCAGAACGGGUUCGACGGUGAGGGACGAAAGCUGGGGGCACGAACCGG
rnacentral:rRNA from 1 species